UAAACUCAUGAGAGAGUGAUUUAUAAAUCAGAAUACCAAUUUAUGAUAAGGGGUUAUGCUAAUUCUGCUGGGCAAAUGUUUCUGGUUCUUCCCACUUCUGGUCACAUGUUCAGAUUAUCCUCCCCACGUCCUCCCCUCCUUUGUGGUUGGGGGAAGCCAUGUGACUGGUUCUAGACAUGAGUUAUGAAUAGAAAUGAUAUGUGUCACUUAAGCUGUGAUCAACUGGCCCAGUUUGUCUGAGGCUGAGGGGUUUCCCAGGAUGUAGAACUUACAGUGUUAAACCAGGACAGUCUGUGGCAAAACAGGCCAGUUGUCACUUGAGCUGGAGCAUUUAAUUGCUCGUUCAAGACCCUCCACAUUUCUCUCUUUUUCCUUCUGGCAGAGACUGGCAACGUUUAGGUAGUGGGUACUCCAUCUUUCCAGAUCCUUGGAUCACACAAUGAGCAUAAUCCACCUGUGAACCCACGAUGGGCAUGUAAGCCAUAUCAAUAAAUAAAGCUUUAUUCUUAUAUAGCACUUAGAUUGGGGAGUUUUUGUUAUUGCAGCAAAACCUAGCUUAUCCUAACUGAUACAUGAAUACAAAUAACACCUGAGUUCAUACAUGUUGGUGAAUAAGUGCUGCUCUUUUUUCUUUUAAUAGGAAAAUCUGCUAAGGAUAUCAAAGACUAUCAUGAGGUCGCUUAGUGAAAUCAGAAGCAGAGCUAACGAAGUUGGAGAAUUCUAAGAUGUUUUCAUUAAUCUGUGCCACAUUUAUCACUCAUUCUCUUCUCUAAAGAGGCAUCUCUAUCCCCAUUGUUAACAAGCCUGCUGAUGUCCCAGAAGGUUCACGGCUCCCAGUCCUAUCCGUGGAGGUACAAAAGGCAUCACUUAACAGAAUGUGCUUGAGAGACCCAGUCCAACCAGAGGCCUGCUCCUGGAAGAAAAGAGAAGGAGGGUCCUUUGGUCCAACAGUUUCUGCACGUAGAAAGCCAUUGAGCACUUGUCAGCUCUCCCAUCCCCCGCCGCCCUGCCGAGGUUGCAUUGGAAAGACCCAGAAGUUCUGGAUGACUGAUGAACACCCACAUCUCACAGAAGGAUCGGGACAGGGUGAUGCACACCCAGAGAGAGAGCCGCCCACAGCUCCAUUUGCUCGUCUGUCGAAUGAGGAGGUCGAUUAAAUCAUCUCCCUAAGGACCCUACUGUGCCAACCUUCCGUGAUUCUGAAACUCCACCUCCGCCAUAACUGCUGAGGACCACCUUGUCCAUAAAUAAGUGAGUGGAGCUGUGUAAACUUCCUGAAUUUCUAACGACCAAGAGCAUCUUUCAGGUACGUUGGGAGCCCAGGAUUUUACUUCUAAGCUCAGUAGGCAAGAUUGGGACCUACCAAGACCCGCAGCAACGACACACUCGGUAUCUGUAAACCCAUCUCUCUGGAAGGAUAAGCUGACACAAAGUUUAUUUUUUUUCUUGUGUGUAUAUAUAUAUAUUUUAUUUUGCUCAUUAAGUAAAAUUUUUGUGUGUGUGUUAUUUAUAUAUUUUUUUAAAUUGCUUUAUUGCGGUCAUAAUGGUUUACAACAUGUAUAAUUUUAGGUGUGUAUCAUUAUUAAUCAGUUUCUGUAUAGACUGCAUCAUGCUCACCACCAGUAGUCUAAUUUUUAUCCGUCACCAUAAGAUGUGCCACUUUACCUCUUCCACCCACCCCCCACCCCCUUUCCCUCUGGUAACCACUAAUCUGUUCUUUUUAUCU
rnacentral:lncRNA from 1 species